rnacentral:lncRNA from 1 species
GAUUUCAAGACUGGACUCCAAUCUGCAUUUCCUGUGACUCCCCUUUACAGACCCUAAGCUCCAGCCUUAUGUAAUUACCUUAAAUUCCUGAGUGUACCUCGUUUCUUUCAUACCACUGUGACUUUGCCCAUAGAUUCAGUGAUUUUUCAGACUACAAAUUCCACGGUUUUACUUGCCUGUCUGGUCCCACCUACUUCUCUAGCAACACCUUAGGCUGUUUCCAUCCCAUCCCCAUUGUUUACUGUUUAUGGUCCAAACUGUGCUCACAUUCAUACAUAGCUGAUUACCCCCUUGGGGGUGUUAGUUAUGGAUUAUCUUUGUCUGUUCAUGCUCCUCCUUUUUUUAAUAUUCUGCUUAGAACAGUACCUUCUCUAUCAUCCUACAAGCUUUAACUUUAAAAUGUCACUUCCUCAGGAAAUAUUUCUACUUCCUCCUUUCCUUUACCCCAAAUUAAAUC